AAAAACGCAAUUGUACUCUGAUUAUAAAACAGUUAAUUUUUUUAUUGAAAUGGAUUGCAAAUAUGAGUGAAAUUGUGUAAAGUAACUCCAUCACACUGGAUAAGGCUUCAAUAAAUUAUUAUGAAAGUCUUACAUUAUUACUACGCUCAUUAUGUACUCUGCUUCUUAUGUUGUCCACCGGGUUUUUUUUCCUUUUCUUUUUUUCUGCUUUUAUUAAUGUAAAGCUGCUUUGAAACAAUGAAACAAUUGAAUAAAUAGAUGAGCUAUUAAUAAUAAUCAAUUUAAUUUAUAAAGCGCCUUUCAAAGGACCCAAGGUCACUUGCUCAUUGCACUGCAAAAAAAUGACUUUCUUCGUGUUUUUGUCUUGUUUUCAGUACAAAUAUAAAAAAAUUCUUAAAUUAAGAUGUAUUAAAAGUUUUCUUGAAAUAUACUUUUUCAUAAACACUUAAUUUAAAACAUUUUUUUAUUCCAUUGGCUGAUAUUUUUGCUUAUUUUCCUAGGUCAUUUUGCUCAUCAAGAAAAUGCAUCUUAAUUGAAGAAUUUUUUGAUAUUUUUACUGAAAACAAGACAACAAUUCAAAAUUAAAUAUGACCGGGCCAAAACGGACAUGGCAGCAGGUCAAAAUCAAAAUCUGCAGAAUGCAGUGAAAAAGAAUACCCAGAGACAAGGCACGGGUGGUGGGUCACCAAAAGCUGACCUCACCCCAGCAGAGGCCAGCUUUGGAGCUAAAUAAAGGCAGGCCUGUUGGAGGGGAUCCCUGGGGGAAAAGAGACAAGCAUAGGUCCCUCACAAGAUGCCACCCGCUUCAUACAAGUGUCUGGCAGCACUGUGUUACUGUUAAAGCCACCAGCACGAGCACCAGACGCUGCUGAUCCAGUGAGUACUCCAUCAAAGGCAUACUGUAGGCCUGGCAUGUCUUGUCUACUAGCUUCAAUAUGAAUCCGAUUAAAUGUGAUGGGGUCAAGGCCCCAUUUCAUCAGCACAUAACGGCGAUGAUGAUGAGGAGACCAUCUCUCUGGAUUCCAAAAGGCAUAAGGUAUCAUGUCAAACUUGUGAAAGUACUAUACAAAGGAGUCAUCAUUGGGAGCCAUCACAAAAUCUCAUUUCUUUUACAGGACCCAGAGUCAUUGGUGCACUGGACUGCACAAACAUAAGGAUAAAAGCCCCCUCAGUCCAUGACUCCAGAAUCUUUUGGACCUCUGAAAUCUAUCAGCGCCUAUCACAAGGUGAAUUCUCUGGUGUGUUGCUGGUAGACAGGGGGUAAGGCUGCCAGCCGUUUUUCCUGACACCUUUCACAGACCCCCAGGAAGCACAGCCGGCCUACAACUAUGCCCAUGUUAGGGCCAGAGUUGAAAUGACCUUUGGCCUCCUGAAGGCACGCUCUCACUGCUUUCACAAAUUAAGGGUCAGCCCUGUGAGGGCAUGUGACAUUACUGUGGCUUGUGGUGUCCUCCACAAUGUGGCCUGCCUGAGGAAGGAGAGGGCACCCAGAGUGCUGCCAGCCAUGGACUGGGACAAUCCGGAAAUCUUCCCUGAUGACAACAGUGGUCGGCUGCUGAGGGACCAAUAUGUGUUGAAUUAUUUUAGUCAGUAUGUGUGCUUUCACAUUUUUUUGAUGUUUGUGCUGUAUACUGUGUGUAUACUGUUUGUAAUACAAGCUUGCAGGAAGGCUACUGCAUCCGUUAAUUGUCUUGUUUUCAGUUGUCUGAAAUUGUCUGUUCAGUUAAUGUGUAUGAAUUUGUCCUGCAUUUAUUUCAGUGUGCAGACAUGCAGGGUGUGUUAUAUACAGACCUUUGAAUGUGUAUUUAUCCUUUGGUUGUACAAUAUGCUUUGAUUCUGUGCUUUCCAUCUUGUAGAGUCAUGCACUGUGUGACUUCAGUUUCGAAAGGAGCUGAUGG